AUGGACCCCAGUUCUACAGGGACGAUGCAGCGGAUACAGAGUGAAAAGAGCAUCCUGGAUGAACCAGACUCUCCUCUAGAGGGGCAAUUGUUUCUGCUGCAACAACAACAACAACAACAACAACAACAGCAACAACAACAACAACAACAACAACAACAACAACAGCAACACAUCAUGACACAGGUAAAAGAUAAAAAGCCACACAUACAUAAAAAAGUGCAACACAGCAACAACAGAAAAAAAACCUGUGAUACAAUCAUAUUCUAUGGACAUCAUAAGCCAACUCACAGUAUUCUAACAUAUCAGAGGAAACUAACAAAAACUUAGACCAGCAAUUUGGUGAUUAAACUUAUUUUAUAUUAUUUAAUAUAUAAAAAAAUAAUAAAGAUAAAAUAUCAGUAAGCUUUGGUAAAAAGGAAACCACUUUAGUCUGUGAAACGUCAGUACUUUGUAGUACUUUUGUACUGGAAUGUUGCUUUUUCUUGCUGAAAAAUGCCAAGUAUAAAGUUUUACAAAAGUAUGUAAUAUUAAAGUAUAAACAUAGCAUAAUAAAAUAUUUUAUAUGUAUAAAAACUUGAACAAUACUUUGACCUUAUUAUUUUACUUUUGUAUGCACCUUAUUUCCAUGUCCUGUGUUUACUGCAGUACAACUCUUUUAACUAAAAACGACAUAUAACACUCUAUUAGGAGAAAACAGCUGUUUGAUUCAGUACCGCGUCCUGUCGCAAUUUUGCGACUUUGGCGCUUAAAGGGUUAAUUCGGUAUGAUUCUGGCAGAUCUGCUCCACUGUUUAUUUAUUCCUGCAUUCAGUAGGAAAAGAAGGCUGAGUUUGUGUUUUUCUUCCUGCCUGUCUUCAGUGAGAGUCUAUGAAGCUCUCUGCCUCUCACAGCAGCAUGCAGCAGCGGCAGUUGGCCGCCUGUGUGGCGCUGUCCACACUUGUGGUGCUGAAAGCAGCUCCAGCCCUCUCCCCCUCCCCCUCGCUGUCUUUCACAAUGACUCUCUACAUCUCCCUCUGUCGCCCACCUCCAUUUAGAGCAGAUGACUGUUGCAAACACUUAUUUAGUAGAUUUUUCAGAUUAUUUUACAAAUGUUAUCCUUGAUUAUCUUAUGUACCAUUUGCAGCAUGAAAUUUAGGCGUUUUUAACGUCAUAUUGGAUAUGUGUGUAAUGGUUGUUGCCAGCGGAGGGAUAUUGCAUAAUGGUGCGUGGGUUUUAGAAUGAUUGGAUUGUUAAUGGUGACCAAUCAUCUAUUAAAUACGAAAGUGUAAAACUGGCUAAUGUCGUCGUUAAUAUGUAUAAU
rnacentral:lncRNA from 15 species